AAAGGUUCAUUAGUUUCGGAUUUAUGAAAUCUCUGCGUGAACAAAACACUUCUCCCGUUUCAAAUCAAUCCAAAAUAUUUUCAAACUGCGAAAGACACCCACCUCCCUCUCCCACACACAUAUUCCGGAAUACUUCAUUUUAUCUCUGAUUCGUAGCAUCCAUCUCUCCUUAUCUGUUGCUCUCUCUCUCUUCUCUGGUUCUUUCAUGGAAAACAAGAGCAACGCAGGCAGCGAUGCCAAAGUUGGUUCCGAAUGUGCCAAGCCAAAUCUUACCAACCAUCAUGAAGACCCUAAUUAUGUGCAUGUUGAGGAACAAGAACAGGAAGUAGAGGUAGGCGGAUCCGGCAUCGAGCAAGCUCCUCAGCCGCCGCGUCAGCCCCCUAGAACCCCCUUUACUAAUCUAAGUCAGGUCGAGGCUGACCUCGCUCUCGCACGUACCCUUCAGGAGCAGGAAAGGGCAUUCAUGAUGCUCCAAAUGAACAAUGAAGGAAGUGAUUAUGGAAGUUGGGAAGGUGGAAGCUAUGCAUAUGAUGACGAGGAUGAUUUUGAUGAUCCCCAUGAGGACACUGAUGAGGACGAUGAGGAGGGAUACGAUGGAACCAACCUUGAUGAUGAUGAGGAUGCUUUUGAUGUGCAUGCUCAUGAUAUGGCUGAAGAGGAAAACGACCCCCGUGUUGAAUUCGAUCCAGCUGUCUUUUUAAGUGAUGAGGUCUAUGCAAGAGCCCUACAAGAUGCUGAAGACAUAGAAAUGGCUGCUAGACUGUUUGUGCUUGCAGGGUUAAAUGAUAGGGAAGCUGACAUAGAGGAUCAUGGUGGUUACUCUCUGACAACAGAAGUGGAAGAGGACACGUGGGAGGAGGUUGACCCCGAUGAGCUUUCCUAUGAGGAAUUGAUUGCGCUUGGUGAAGUAGUUGGAACUGAGAGUAGAGGGCUUUCAGCUGAUACAAUUGCGUCUUUGCCUUCAGUAAAUUAUAAAUCAGGAAGCAAUCAGAAUGGAAACAAUGAUUCAUGUGUCAUUUGUCGGUUGGACUACGAGGAUGGUGAAACAUUGACAGUGCUUUCUUGCAAACAUUCUUACCAUUCUGAAUGCAUAAGCGAUUGGUUGAAAAUAAACAAGUACAAAGUCAAGGCAGGACUGGCUAAAAGGAGAGCCUUCUGGCGAUGUUUGCUGCAUCCUGAAAAUUAAGUGGCCUGCCAUUCUUGUAUAGUACUUGGGGUCUUAUUCUGCACUAUGCCAUCAAUACGACAAAUUGCCUCAUUGGAGGUCUGCCCUGUUUGCAACGCUGAUGUUUCAAUAUCCGGCAACAGCUAGUGGAAGUCAAGAAUAUUAACAACAGUUGGCACACGGCUUUGGGUCAUUGCUCUUGUUUCAUACAGUUCUCUCGUGUACGGGAGGGAACACAAAUGUCCCUGGUUGUCUCCAUACUUCUUGAGAAUAGUUUUAUAUCUUUAUUAGAUCUGGCCUUCUCUUUAAGAUUACCUCUGAUUAAAGAUGGCUUGAGUUAUACAAAUUGGUAAACUGUUUGCAUU